AGUGAACGCUGGCGGUAGGCCUAACACAUGCAAGUCGAACGGCAGCACAGUAAGAGCUUGCUCUUACGGGUGGCGAGUGGCGGACGGGUGAGGAAUACAUCGGAAUCUACUUUUUCGUGGGGGAUAACGUAGGGAAACUUACGCUAAUACCGCAUACGACCUACGGGUGAAAGCAGGGGAUCUUCGGACCUUGCGCGAUUGAAUGAGCCGAUGUCGGAUUAGCUAGUUGGCGGGGUAAGGGCCCACCAAGGCGACGAUCCGUAGCUGGUCUGAGAGGAUGAUCAGCCACACUGGAACUGAGACACGGUCCAGACUCCUACGGGAGGCAGCAGUGGGGAAUAUUGGACAAUGGGCGCAAGCCUGAUCCAGCCAUACCGCGUGGGUGAGGAAGGCCUUCGGGUUGUAAAGCCCUUUUGUUGGGAAAGAAAAGCAGCAGGUUAAUACCCCGCUGUUCUGACGGUACCCAAAGAAUAAGCACCGGCUAACUUCGUG
rnacentral:rRNA from 1 species